rnacentral:pre_miRNA from 1 species
AGCCUUCUGUAUCCGCGCUGAGAUUUGAGAUUUCGUCACAUACAAGACCACAAGGGCUGAUGAGACUUCCAAGAUAAGUGAAGCG